AAUAUUAUCCAAACAUACAAAAAUUUAAUCCUAAGUUUUGAUGAUUCAAUUAAGUCUGAUACUGCGCUCUACUUUGCCAGAAUAGAUAGCCAAGAAAGGGCAAAUCUGUCAUUUGCGCGUGUCAGAGUUUGUCAUUCCGUCAUUUUUGGUUUUCAUGACGAUUCGGUUCCCUCACUUCUCUCGCGACCCGUCCUCUUUCUCCCUUCGUUUAGAGGAUCAAACUGGCUGUUGACGACAACACAAAGCCUCUCAACCAUGUAUGCAUCAGGAGGGUAAGCGGAGAAGUUAUUAUAGUUAAAUUUUGUUGCUUCUUUGAAAUUUGUAUGUUAAGGUUGCCAUUUUUCUUGUCAUUGUUAUCAAUGGUGGUACUAUUUAUAAUUAUUGAGAAUGUGAGAAAGAUAUAGACAAGGAACUAGAGGGGAGUGAAUUAUAGACGACCAAUUUUAUUAGGAAUAUAACUGAACCUAUUCAUGUACCAGUUUAUUAGGAAUGUAACCUAACCUAUUCUAUUUUAUGAAUGCGCCAUUUUCUCCAAA